GAUGAACGCUAGCGAUAGGCUUAACACAUGCAAGUCGAGGGGCAGCAUUAUUUUAGCUUGCUAAGAUAGAUGGCGACCGGCGCACGGGUGCGUAACGCGUAUGCAACCUGCCUGUAAUUAGGGAAUAACCCGGUGAAAGUCGGACUAAUACCCUAUAUUCUUCUUUCUCCGCAUGGAGGAGGACGGAAAGAUUUAUUGAUUACAGAUGGGCAUGCGUCCCAUUAGCUAGUUGGUAAGGUAACGGCUUACCAAGGCAACGAUGGGUAGGGGGACUGAGAGGUUGACCCCCCACACUGGUACUGAGACACGGACCAGACUCCUACGGGAGGCAGCAGUGAGGAAUAUUGGUCAAUGGGCGAGAGCCUGAACCAGCCAAGUCGCGUGAAGGACGACGGUUCUAUGGAUUGUAAACUUCUUUUGUAGAGGAAUAACGGCAGCUACGUGUAGCUGAGAUGCAUGUACUCUACGAAUAAGUAUC
rnacentral:rRNA from 1 species